rnacentral:rRNA from 1 species
AGCGAACGCUGGCGGUAUGCCUAGCACAUGCAAGUCGAACGGCAGCACAGUAACUGCUUGCUCUGACGGGGUUCGAGUCGCGGACGUGUGGGGAAGAUAUCGUAACCUACAGUUUCGGGUGGGUUAACGAAGGGAAACCUACUCCAAUAUCGCAUACGACAUACGAUUGUAAGCAGUGGAACUUCGCACCUUGCGCAAUUGAAGGAGCAGAUGCGGUGUUGGAUAUUGGGCGGGGUAAAGCCCCACCACGGGGGCGAUCCUGAGCUGGUCUGAGAGGAUGACCGGCCACACUGGAACUGGGACACGGUCCAGACUCCUAGGGGAGGCAGAAGUGGGGAAUAUUGGACAAUGGGCGCAAGCCUGAUCCAGCCAUACGGCGUGGGUGAAAAAGGCCUUCGGGUUGUAAGGCCCUUUUGUUGGGAAAGAAAAGCAGCAGGUUAAUAACCCGCUGUUCUGACGGUACCCAACGAAUAAGCACCGGCUAACUUCGUG